rnacentral:rRNA from 1 species
CGUAGGUGGUUUGUUAAGUUGGAUGUGAAAGCCCCGGGCUCAACCUGGGAACUGCAUCCAAAACUGGCAAGCUAGAGUACGGUAGAGGGUGGUGGAAUUUCCUGUGUAGCGGUGAAAUGCGUAGAUAUAGGAAGGAACACCAGUGGCGAAGGCGACCACCUGGACUGAUACUGACACUGAGGUGCGAAAGCGUGGGGAGCAAACA